rnacentral:sRNA from 1 species
AUUAUGCCAAGGAAAUACAAUAUUUUCAUUGUGACACUAAUCGAGUUUGCUGAUAAUCAUUGAAGAUGAUUGGGCUGGGGCCUGCAUGCUACAACACUGACCUAAUGGUGUGAUUACUGCACAAGACCUGAAUAAAAUCAAGCCAGUCAAAAGCCUAAUGCAAAUGGGGGAGAGACACCUAGCCCCACCUUCUCAGAAGAACUAUUAGCAGUUGAUGACUGCUGAGGGAGAAAGGAUCAAGUCACUCUCCUUUGGGGAUGUUGCAACUGCAGAGAGAAUUAGAAUCCCACACUCUUAAUAUAUGAUCUCUCUUCCUGGCAAUAUAAUCAGAUGUUUCAUCCCAAGGUGAUGUCCACUUUGUCUGAAAUCCUGCUAGACACGCACAAGCAGCCCUCCACUGGAAUCAACUGUGGCCUUGCCUGCAGGG